rnacentral:rRNA from 1 species
AUUGAACGCUGGCGGAAUGCUUUACACAUGCAAGUCGAACGGCAGCACGGGGGCGAACCCUGGUGGCGAGUGGCGAACGGGUGNGUAAUACAUCGGAACGUGCCCAGUGUGGGGGAUAACGUAGCGAAAGCUACGCUAAUACCGCAUACGAUCUACGGAUGAAAGCGGGGGAUCGCAAGACCUCGCGCGAUUGGAGCGGCCGAUGGCAGAUUAGGUAGUUGGUGAGGUAAAGGCUCACCAAGGCGACGAUCUGUAGCGGGUCUGAGAGGAUGAUCCGCCACACUGGAACUGAGACACGGUCCAGACUCCUACGGGAGGCAGCAGUGGGGAAUUUUGGACAAUGGGCGCAAGCCUGAUCCAGCCAUGCCGCGUGAGUGAAGAAGGCCU